CCAGUUCCUGCGGGCUUUCAUUGUGUCAACUUUCUUUGCUACCCUGGUAGCGACAUUGUUUGAAUGUCAGCCAUUGUACAUGUUUUGGAGUCAUGAACACCUGCACCAUCCAUGUCGGAAAGGCAUGGCUAAUUUGCUCACAAUGGGCACCUUGAACAUCGCAACCGAUCUUGCUUUGAUUCUUUUCCCCAUCCCAAUGCUCUGGAGAAUGACAUCCCUUGAUUUUCAAGCAAAGUUGCAAUUAACCCUUUUGUUCCUAGUCGGAAUAUUGGUUGUUGCAAUUACGGUUACGCGGCUGCCUCUUAUAUUAAGUCAAUCGGUGGCUCAGUCAACAUUCCAUCUGUUCGGAGAAUUGGACAUUAGGACGUAUCAGAUGCUAACGGAAGGAACUAUAAUUUGGCGAGACUGCAGUGGGCAUCCAUUGAAAUUGUCUGCUCAAGCGUUGUUGCCAAUGCUUCAUUUUACUAUGCCAUUUGGCAAGGGUCAUUUCGAUAUCAGGCCCACCCCGCAGCCUCCGAAAACUUAUCUAUACCAUUUCGGCUUUUGCCUUGGUCUAGG
rnacentral:sRNA from 1 species